GGGGGGGGGGGGGGGGGGGGGGGGGGGUGCGGGGCGGGGGGGGGGGGCCGGCGGUGGGGGGGGGCGGGGGGGGCGAGGGGGGGAGGAGCACGGGGGUAACCGGCCCGGGGCUGUGGGGGGACUUCGGGAAACUGGGGCUAAUACCGGAUGGGGGCGCCGGCUGCCGGGGGGGGGUUGGAAGGUUUCGGCGGUUGGGGAUGGACUCGCGGCUUAUCAGCUUGUUGGUGGGGUGGUGGCUUACCAAGGCUUUGACGGGUAGCCGGCCUGCGCGGGUGACCGGCCACAUUGGGACUGAGAUACGGCCCAGACUCCUACGGGAGGCAGCAGUGGGGAAUAUUGCACAAUGGGCGGAAGCCUGAUGCAGCAACGCCGCGUGCGGGAUGACGGCCUUCGGGUUGUAAACCGCUUUCGCCUGUGACGAAGCGUGAGUGACGGUAAUGGGUAAAGAAGCACCGGCUAACUACGUG
rnacentral:rRNA from 1 species